GAAAUUUGGAUUAAUACCCCGUAGUAACUUGAUAUGGCAUCAUAUUAAGUUUAAAGUUUUCGGAUGGUACAGGAUGGCUAUGCGUCCUAUUAGUUAGAUGGUGAGGUAACGGCUCACCAUGGCAGCGAUAGGUAGGGGCCCUGAGAGGGGGAUCCCCCACACUGGUACUGAGACACGGACCAGACUCCUACGGGAGGCAGCAGUGAGGAAUAUUGGACAAUGGGCUAAAGCCUGAUCCAGCCAUGCCGCGUGCAGGAAGACGGCCCUAUGGGUUGUAAACUGCUUUUAUACGGGAAGAAUAAGGGACACGUGUGUCCUGGUGACGGUACCGUAAGAAUAAGGACCGGCUAACUCCGUGCCAGCAGCCGCGGUAAUACGGAGGGUCCGAGCGUUAUCCGGAAUUAUUGGGUUUAAAGGGUCCGCAGGCGGGCAAUUAAGUCAGGGGUGAAAUGGUGCGGCUCAACCGUAGCACUGCCCUUGAUACUGGUUGUCUUGAGUCAUAGUGAAGUGGCCGGAAAUAUGUAGUGUAGCGGUGAAA
rnacentral:rRNA from 1 species